CAAUACUUAGUGGCAGACGGGUGAGUAACAUGUAGGUAUCUGCCCUUUGGCCUGGAAUAACACGAGGAAACUUGUGCUAAUACCGGAUAAGUCUUAACGGAGAAAGCUUUAUGCACCAUUGGAUGAGCCUGCACUUGAUUAGUUUGCUGGUGGGGUAAUGGCCUACCAAGACUGUGAUCAAUAGCUGAUUUGAGAGGAUGAUCAGCCACAUUGGGACUGAGACACGGCCCAAACUCCUACGGGAGGCAGCAGUGGGGAAUCUUGCACAAUGGAGGAAACUCUGAUGCAGCGAUGCCGCGUGAGUGAAGAAGGCCCUUGGGUUGUAAAGCUCUUUCGUCGGGGAAGAAAAUGACUGUACCCGAAUAAGAAGGUCCGGCUAACUUCGUGCCAGCAGCCGCGGUAAUACGAAGGGACCUAGCGUAGUUCGGAAUUACUGGGCUUAAAGAGUUCGUAGGUGGUUGAAAAAGUUGGUGGUGAAAUCCCAGAGUUUAACUCUGGAACUGCCAUCAAAACUUUUCAGCUAGAGUAUGAUAGAGGAAAGUAGAAUUUCUAGUGUAGAGGUGAACUUCGUAGAUAUUAGAAAGAAUACCGAUUGCGAAGGCAGCUUUCUGGAUCAUUACUGACACUGAGGAACGAAAGCAUGGGUAGCGAAGAGGAUUAGAUACCCUCGUAGUCCAUGCCGUAAACGAUGUGUGUUAGACGUUGGGAAUUUAUUUUCAGUGUCGCAGCGAAAGCGAUAAACACACCGCCUGGGGAGUACGACCGCAAGGUUAAAAC
rnacentral:rRNA from 1 species